UGGCCUAACGGCUGAACCAGCAACUUGGAGGAAUGUAUAGCGAAAGCUAAUUUACCAAGUGCAAUAUCAAUUUACUUGAAUAAAGUUCUGAGUGAAAUUAUGAUGAUGACAUGCUUUGCUCAUGUGUCUUGACCAAAUUACGUGCCAGCAGUCGCGGUAAUACGUAGUAGACUAGUGUUAUUCAUCUUUAAUAGGUUUAAAGGGUACCUAGACGGCAAAUUAAGCUUUUAGGAACUAAUUAGCUAGAGUUACUUACGAGGGAGCUUAUAGGUACUGGUGGUGGAGAGAUGAAAUUCUUUGAUACUUUUCUUUGAUAUAGCAGUGACGGCACAGAUUAAGGCGAAAGCAUCUCCUCAUGUGAUAGCUUCAUGUAACGAAGAGGAUUAGGUACCCUUGUAGUUGAAGGCAGACAAUGAUGAGUGUCAUAGAUUAGUUUAUUCUAUAAAUGAUAGUGUAAGCACUCCACCUCAAGAGUAAUUUGGCAACAUUGGAACUGAAAUCAUUAGACCGUUUCUGAAACCAGUAGUGAAGUAUGUUGUUUAAUUUGAUGAUCCGCAAAAAACCUUACCAUGAAUAUUUACAAGCGUUGCACGGCUGUCUUCAGCUAAUGUCGUGAGACUCUGGUUAGUUCCAUUAAAUUAGCGUAAACCCUUGCUUUAUUUGCGUAUAAAGCAGUUCUCCAUUAUAAAGGAUAAGAUAACAGGGACUAAGACAAGUCAUCAUGGCCAUAAGUGUA
rnacentral:rRNA from 1 species